ACACUCCUGCGGGAGGCAGCAGUGGGGAAUAUUGCACAAUGGGCGCAAGCCUGAUGCAGCCAUGCCGCGUGUAUGAAGAAGGCCUUCGGGUUGUAAAGUACUUUCAGCGGGGAGGAAGGCAAUACGGUUAAUAACCGUGUUGAUUGACGUUACCCGCAGAAGAAGCACCGGCUAACUCCGUGCCAGCAGCCGCGGUAAUACGGAGGGUGCAAGCGUUAAUCGGAAUUACUGGGCGUAAAGCGCACGCAGGCGGUCUGUCAAGUCGGAUGUGAAAUCCCCGGGCUCAACCUGGGAACUGCAUUCGAAACUGGCAGGCUUGAGUCUUGUAGAGGGGGGUAGAAUUCCAGGUGUAGCGGUGAAAUGCGUAGAGAUCUGGAGGAAUACCGGUGGCGAAGGCGGCCCCCUGGACAAAGACUGACGCUCAGGUGCGAAAGCGUGGGGAGCAAACAGGAUUAGAUACCCUAGUAGUCCC
rnacentral:rRNA from 1 species